GAUCAUGGCUCAGGAUGAACGCUGGCGGCGUGCUUAACACAUGCAAGUCGAGCGAAGCACUUAAGUUCGAUUCUUCGGAUGAAGACUUUUGUGACUGAGCGGCGGACGGGUGAGGUAACGCGUGGGUAACCUGCCUCAUACAGGGGGAUAACAGUUAGAAAUGGCUGCUAAUACCGCAUAAGACCACAGUACUGCAUGGUACGGUGGUAAAAACUCCGGUGGUAUGAGAUGGACCCGCGU
rnacentral:rRNA from 1 species